GUUUUAAUAGUUUAAAUAAAAAUAAUGAUCUUGUAAAUCAUGGAUAGAAUAAUUCUUUAAAACU
rnacentral:tRNA from 1 species